AAGAACAGUAGGGAGCAUCCUCAGCACCUGAAGAUAUAUCCCACUGCUUCUAGGAGAGACUUACAAGCAGAGACCAUCUUCAAAAACAGAGCAGCCUACAGACAAGAGGGGAGAGAGUGAGCAGGAGAUAUUUGAAAGAGAAUGAAAGAAUCCUAUAUCCAGUUCUGGAGACUGUACAUUUAAGGAAGAGACUGAAAAAUUGAAGUGGUUCAACAGGGGCACAAGAAUGAUUGGCGGAUGAGAAAACUUGCCUUAGAGUGAGACAUGGACUCAUUUCAACAAGAUAUGAAAUAAUUUCAUGGUUAGCUCCAGGUGGAAGUCGUCAUAUGUUCAUCGGUGCACAUCAACAACGUUUCUAGUGGAAGGAUAUUGACUUUGCAGUUUAUCUGAAAGAGGGCACCAUGAACAGUCUGAACCUGACCACAUGCACAGGACUGCUGAAGAGUCCAAUUCUUUUGAAGGCCACUUGUUAGUGCAUCCAUAUUGUUGCCAAUGUCCAAGAGAAUCUGUGCCAUUGUGACAGAAGGCUAAGAAGGUGGAUUAAGCUCCAUAUUUUUUUUUUUUUAUCCUCUAUCCUGCAACUACAAACAAGGGAGCCAUUUUGUGUUAUUUGAACUGCUGAGAUAAAUAUUUUUACAAUGUUUGCUAGGCAUUGGACUGAGACUAUUUGAUGCCUGUCAGCCACCAAAGAGUGGUCCAAUACCGAUGAUUAUUGAUGACAGUCAUGCCUGAGCUAGAACAAAGAAACUGCAAAACAAGUAAGGGAUUCACAUUAGAUGAGAGCGUAUGUCCAUAUUCAUGAAAUUUUGCAGACACCCAAGGGGGUCUCCACAUGUGCCUGGUACCACUUCUUCUCACAGCGUUCCAUCGCCCUUGGAGGGCACAUACCUAUGAAAUAUCUGUCUCUGUUUGCUUGAAAGACUCCAAGGCAACCCAGCAUUAUCAUGUUUUUCACACAUCCUGUGUGACUGUGACUGUCUGAAGUAGAAGCAUUUCCAAGUGCACUUUCCCCAGUACCUUCCUCAAGUUUGGCCACAACUCCAUACCUGUCUAGAGCUUUCAUGAAAAUAAGUAUCCAUGUCUUCCCAUAUGUCCCUAUCCCAGUUAAAUCAAAGUGUAAUCAGUUACUGAUUGCUUUUAAUCACCCUUGAGCAGGGUUAGAAUUGAAAUAAUAACUAGACCUUCUUUGCAUAUGGGUUUGUACAUGGUGAUGAUGCAAUGCAUUGUAAUUUAGAAUCAUGGAAAGAUAGGGAAAGUUGAAUCUGUAGCUCAUGGAUUGAUUUCUUUUCCUUUCCCUCUCCCCCUUUCCAUGCUAUUUAGCAUGCAUACUAAGCCUCUGUACCAAUAAAGAAUGAACAAGAAACAGCAGAAGCACUUAUAUCAUCGUUCUCUUUUUGAAUGACACAAAUGUAGUGUUGUGCUGCUAGUGUGACUCAACCUUUAAUUCUGAGGUAAUUCAGUAGUUUGGUUUCCAUGCUUGUUAUCUCUACUGUUACAUGGACUUAAUUUUAUAAAAAUCAGUGAACAGCCAUUAGUAUAUAACAACAUCUUUUUGUUUGCCCAAACUAGAUUUUUGAGUGACAGGCGCCCUAUUGGUAUCUGGUGAGAGACCAAAGCAUUUUUAUAAAAAUGUCAUACCCCUGCCUGCAAUUAGGUAUUUAUAGCCUAAUUUCAAACCACAGGCAACCUCUAUGCAUUAUAAACAAAUAAAGGAUUCAUUCAGUUUCCAUAGUAUCUUUGUACACACAUUUUCCUACAGAUAACUGAAAAAGUUAAGUUUUCAGGGUUUGACUGUACUUCUUGUAUACAACUCAGUUUUUUAUUUUUGAUUAACGUAAAUUGAUAAUUUUGUGCUAUGUUAAGUAUGCUUUGGUUAAAUAGUCUAAAUCCUAACAUAAAACACCCAAGCUUUCUAUGUAUGUUUGCCAAUUUUUAAGUCAACCACUUUUUUUUUUUUUUCUUCUCAUAUGUAAAAGCAUAUUGUUCUGUGUUCUUCA